CGGGGCGUAGCGCAGUCUGGUAGCGCACUUGACUGGGGGUCAAGUGGUCGCAGGUUCAAAUCCUGUCGCCCCGACCA
rnacentral:tRNA from 2 species